GGGUCUGUGGUCUAGGGGUAUGACACUCCCUUAGCAUCCAGCAGUUAUUCGAGGACUGAGCUUGAUGUGGGAGAGGUCCCGGGUUCAAUUCCCGGCGGAUCCA